GCAGAAUGCAGAAUGAGAGUCGCACCAUGGGCCUAAAUAUAGCCAGAUAUUGAAUUAAAGUUCAAGAGCUCUGAGCAGGAUUUCACGUCACUCACUGGAAGGAUUCUGACCCUCAUGGAGAUGAGGGGUUCUUUCUGCCAAAGCACUGAUGUCACUAACGUGCAGGAAAGACUAUCAAAGGAUUUAACAAGAAGAAUCUGGAAAAAACACCUAAGGGGACAUGAAUUUGAAGGCUGGAUCGUUACCAUGUUUGAAGCUUUUGGCAGCCUUGAUCUCUAUCAUGUGGAUGAGUGAAACAGAAGAAGACAGUGGCAGAGACGUACGCAUGAAGCAGACCCACAGAGGA
rnacentral:lncRNA from 1 species